GGUGGUCCUGCGGCAGGCUACACAUGCAAGUCGAGCGGUAGCACAGAGAGCUUGCUCUCGGGUGACGAGCGGCGGACGGGUGAGUAAUGUCUGGGAAACUGCCUGAUGGAGGGGGAUAACUACUGGAAACGGUAGCUAAUACCGCAUAAUGUCGCAAGACCAAAGUGGGGGACCUUCGGGCCUCAUGCCAUCAGAUGUGCCCAGAUGGGAUUAGCUAGUAGGUGGGGUAACGGCUCACCUAGGCGACGAUCCCUAGCUGGUCUGAGAGGAUGACCAGCCACACUGGAACUGAGACACGGUCCAGACUCCUACGGGAGGCAGCAGUGGGGAAUAUUGCACAAUGGGCGCAAGCCUGAUGCAGCCAUGCCGCGUGUGUGAAGAAGGCCUUCGGGUUGUAAAGCACUUUCAGCGGGGAGGAAGGCGAUGAGGUUAAUAACCUUGUCGAUUGACGUUACCCGCAGAAGAAGCACCGGCUAACUCCGUGCCAGCAGCCGCGGUAAUACGGAGGGUGCAAGCGUUAAUCGGAAUUACUGGGCGUAAAGCGCACGCAGGCGGUCUGUCAAGUCGGAUGUGAAAUCCCCGGGCUCAACCUGGGAACUGCAUUCGAAACUGGCAGGCUAGAGUCUUGUAGAGGGGGGUAGAAUUCCAGGUGUAGCGGUGAAAUGCGUAGAGAUCUGGAGGAAUACCGGUGGCGAAGGCGGCCCCCUGGACAAAGACUGACGCUCAGGUGCGAAAGCGUGGGGAGCAAACAGGAUUAGAUACCCUGGUAGUCCACGCCGUAAACGAUGUCGAUUUGGAGGUUGUGCCCUUGAGGCGUGGCUUCCGGAGCUAACGCGUUAAUCGACCGCCUGGGGAGUACGGCCGCAAGGUUAAACUCAAAUGAAUUGACGGGGCCCGCACAGCGGGGGAACAUGUGGUUAAUUCGAUGCACGCGAGAACCUUACUGGUCUGACUCACAGACUUACCAGAGAUGAUUGUGCUUCGGAACUGGGAACAGGUGCUGCUGCUGCCGUCACUCGGGUUGGAAAUGUGGUAAGCCGACAGGGACCUAUCCUU
rnacentral:rRNA from 1 species